UUCCCAAGCCUCUCGCAUCUCUCUCUCGUUCUCUCGCGGCGGCGUCCAGAUGUGGAACCUCGCCGAUCCUCCUGCCCCUUCCACCCCUCUCCCCCUCCCUCCUGCAGUCCUGCUCCACCCCUCACUCUCCUCUAGCCGUGAUUUUCUGCGUCCGAUGCGGCGGCUGGGAUGUGGCGGCUGAGGCAAAGGUUUGCGGGGAAGCAGGUCCAUUGAAGCCGACGGUGGCGUCGGAUGGAUGCAGCGGCAGCGAAGACAGUGGCAUGCUGUUUUCAUGGAGAAGGUGGAGGUGACUGCUGGAUGCGGUGCCGUUGGGGAUCUGAUGCAGAUUUCCUUUUUUUUCUCUAUUCUUGGUUCUUCUAUGUUCUUGGUACUUGCUAGUUCAUACAGGUGAAUUAAAAUCAUUUAUUUUUUUCCCUGAUUGGAGGGAUGCUAUCUUUUCUCUGACAAAUGUAAAAAUUAGUUCUUUCAUCUGAAUUGAGAGCAAUUCUUUUUUUUUUCAGAUUGCUGAGAUGUCUCUUCUUUCGGCAGUGCAAAUAUUCGAUUUAUUUUGCCUUUUUUUUCUGUC
rnacentral:sRNA from 1 species